rnacentral:rRNA from 1 species
UAAGGAAUAUUGGUCAAUGGACGGAAGUCUGAACCAGCCAUGCCGCGUGCAGGAAGACGGCCCUAUGGGUUGUAAACUGCUUUUGCAGGGGAAUAAACCUCGGUACGUGUACCGAGUUGAAUGUACCUUGAGAAUAAGGAUCGGCUAACUCCGUGCCAGCAGCCGCGGUAAUACGGAGGAUCCGAGCGUUAUCCGGAUUUAUUGGGUUUAAAGGGUGCGUAGGCGGCCUGUUAAGUCAGGGGUGAAAGACGGUAGCUCAACUAUCGCAGUGCCCUUGAUACUGAUGGGCUUGAAUAUACUAGAGGUAGGCGGAAUGUGACAAGUAGCGGUGAAAUGCAUAGAUAUGUCACAGAACACCAAUUGCGAAGGCAGCUUACUAUGGUAUGAUUGACGCUGAGGCACGAAAGCGUGGGGAUCAAACA